ACGAACGCUGGCGGCGUGCUUAACACAUGCAAGUCGAACGGAAAGGCCCUGCUUUUGUGGGGUGCUCGAGUGGCGAACGGGUGAGUAACACGUGAGUAACCUGCCCUUGACUUUGGGAUAACUUCAGGAAACUGGGGCUAAUACCGGAUAGGAGCUCCUGCUGCAUGGUGGGGGUUGGAAAGUUUCGGCGGUUGGGGAUGGACUCGCGGCUUAUCAGCUUGUUGGUGGGGUAGUGGCUUACCAAGGCUUUGACGGGUAGCCGGCCUGAGAGGGUGACCGGCGAUAUGGGGACGGAGAAGCGGCCCGGCCGCCGGGGGGAGCAAUGGGUGGGGAGUGGUACCCAGGGGGCGGAACCCUGAGGCGGGAACGCCGGGUGCGGGGUGGCGCCCUUCGGUUGGAAGCCCGUUUUCGCCUGGGACGGAGGGUGGGUGACGGUAGUGGGAAAAGAAGCACCGGCUAACUACGUG
rnacentral:rRNA from 1 species